UACGUAGGGGGCGAGCGUUGUCCGGAAUUAUUGGGCGUAAAGAGCGUGUAGGCGGUUCGGUAAGUCUGCCGUGAAAACCUGGGGCUCAACCCCGGGCGUGCGGUGGAUACUGCCGGGCUAGAGGGUGGUAGAGGCGAGUGGAAUUCCCGGCGUAGCGGUGAAAUGCGCAGAUAUCGGGAGGAACACCAGUAGCGAAGGCGGCUCGCUGGGCCAUUCCUGACGCUGAGACGCGAAAGCUAGGGGAGCGAACAGG
rnacentral:rRNA from 1 species